rnacentral:rRNA from 1 species
UACGUAGGGGGCGAGCGUUGUCCGGAAUCAUUGGGCGUAAAGGGUGCGUAGGCGGCGCGGUAAGUCGGGUGUGAAAUCUCGGAGCUUAACUCCGAAACUGCAUUCGAUACUGCCGUGCUUGAGGACUGGAGAGGAGACUGGAAUUUACGGUGUAGCGGUGAAAUGCGUAGAUAUCGUAAGGAAGACCAGUGGCGAAGGCGGGUCUCUGGACAGUUCCUGACGCUGAGGCACGAAGGUCAGGGGAGCAAACGGG